rnacentral:tRNA from 4 species
CGAGAUGUGGCUCAGUUUGGUAGAGCGCUGCGUUCGGGACGCAGAGGUCGCAGGUUCGAAUCCUGUCAUCUCGACCA